AGUGAACGCCGGCGGUAGGCCUAACACAUGCAAGUCGAACGGCAGCACAGGAGAGCUUGCUCUCUGGGUGGCGAGUGGCGGACGGGUGAGGAAUACAUCGGAAUCUACUCUGUCGUGGGGGAUAACGUAGGGAAACUUACGCUAAUACCGCAUACGACCUACGGGUGAAAGCAGGGGAUCUUCGGACCUUGCGCGAUUGAAUGAGCCGAUGUCGGAUUAGCUAGUUGGCGGGGUAAAGGCCCACCAAGGCGACGAUCCGUAGCUGGUCUGAGAGGAGGAUCAGCCACACGGGAACUGAGACACGGUCCAGACUCCUACGGGAGGCACAAGUGGGGAAUAUUGGACAAUGGGCGCAAGCCUGAUCCAGCCAUACCGCGUGGGUGAAGAAGGCCUUCGGGUUGUAAAGCCCUUUUGUUGGGAAAGAAAUCCAGCUGGCUAAUACCCGGUUGGGAUGACGGUACCCAAAGAAUAAGCACCGGCUAACUUCGUGCCAGCCGCCGCGGUAA
rnacentral:rRNA from 1 species